rnacentral:rRNA from 2 species
GAGACCCGUACCCACAGUUGCCAGCGGCUGCUCCGGCAGGCUGGGUACACCGUGGGGACCGCCUCUGCUAAAGAGGAGGAAGGAGCGGGCGACGGUAGGUCAGUAUGCCCCGAAUUCUCCGGGCUACACGCGGGCUACAAUGGAUGGGACAAUGGGCUCCGACACCGAAAGGUGAAGGCAAUCUCUUAACCCCAUUCUUAGUUCGGAUUGAGGGCUGAAACUCGCCCUCAUGAAGCUGGAAUCCGUAGUAAUCGCGUUUCAAAACAGCGCGGUGAAUAC